rnacentral:misc_RNA from 1 species
GCUAGUCUUGGGUCCACUUGCCUUGUUUAGGUAAUUAUUUACCUUGUUUAGAGAGAUCUCCCCUUCCAUGUUUGGGUUUUUGCCUUUUUGGUUCUCUUACCAUAUUUACAAAACUUAUUAUAUUUGACAACUUACCAUAUUGGAGAACUUACCAUAUUUAUAAAAUUUAGAGUUUCAAUUAAGGAAAUAAAUCAAAGCAAUGAGGAAAGUUAAGAAAAGGCACAUGAAACCCUAAUGU